rnacentral:rRNA from 1 species
GACGAACGCUGGCGGCGUGCUUAACACAUGCAAGUCGAGCGGUAAGGCCCUUUCGGGGGUACGACGAGCGGCGAGCGGGUGAGUAACACGUGGGUGACCUGCCCUCAGCUCUGGGAUAAGCCCGGGAAACUGGGUCUAAUACUGGAUAUGACUCCACGGUGCAUGCCGUGGGGUGGAAAGCCUUGUGCGGCUGAGGAUGGGCCCGCGGCCUAUCAGCUUGUUGGUGGGGUGAUGGCCUACCAAGGCGACGACGGGUAGCCGGCCUGAGAGGGCGACCGGCCACACUGGGACUGAGACACGGCCCAGACUCCUACGGGAGGCAGCAGUGGGGAAUCUUGCGCAAUGGGCGAAAGCCUGACGCAGCGACGCCGCGUGAGGGAUGACGGCCUCGGUGUAA